GCUUGCUUCUAAUUGAAAACAUUUGAGUGAGUGGCGGACGGGUGAGUAACACGUGGGUAACCUGCCCUAAAAUGGGGGGAUAACAUUUGGAAACAGAUGCUAAUACCGCAUAAAACCUAGCACCGCAUGGUGCAGGGUUGAAAGAUGGUUUCGGCUAUCACUUUAGGAUGGACCCGCGGUGCAUUAGUUAGUUGGUGAGGUAAAGGCUCACCAAGACCGUGAUGCAUAGCCGACCUGAGAGGGUAAUCGGCCACACUGGGACUGAGACACGGCCCAGACUCCUACGGGAGGCAGCAGUAGGGAAUCUUCCACAAUGGACGCAAGUCUGAUGGAGCAACGCCGCGUGAGUGAAGAAGGUUUUCGGAUCGUAAAACUCUGUUGUUGGAGAAGAACGUAUUUGAUAGUAACUGAUCAGAUAGUGACGGUACCUGCAGAAGAAGCGCCGGCUAACUACGUGC
rnacentral:rRNA from 1 species